UACAGAGGUCCCGAGCGUUGUCUGGAUUUACUGGGCGUAAAGAGCGCGCAGGCGGUCGUUCAAGUCGAGUGUGAAAGCCCCCGGCUCAACUGGGGAGGGUCACUCGAUACUGAUCGACUCGAAGGCAGGAGAGGGAAGUGGAAUUCCCGGUGUAGUGGUGAAAUGCGUAGAUAUCGGGAGGAACACCAGUGGCGAAGGCGACUUCCUGGCCUGUUCUUGACGCUGAGGCGCGAAAGCUAGGGGAGCAAACGGG
rnacentral:rRNA from 1 species